CCCCGGGGCGGGGCUGGGCUGGGCUGAGCCGCGGGCGUGCAGCCCCGAGGGGCCCUCGUCAGAGCAGAGCCCGCGCGGGGCGUGGGGAGAGAGGAGCAGGGUGAAGAGAGGCCGAGAGGGAAAAGAAAACCGAGGGGAGUGGAGCCGGUUCCGUUUUCUCCCUCCGUGGUCAGCAGGCUCCGGCGCUCACCCGCCGACGGGUCUUGCCCGCCGGGGGAUCCCGGCGUCUCGGGUGGCCUGGGCGUGGCGGAGCUGCAGGUGUGGGCAUCGCUCGGCUGUGGCCAGGCCGGUGUCUGUGGCGGGGAUUUAGUCAGAGGAGGUACCACCCCACCAGCCUUCCGACAAAGGCUCUAAAAAUAACCAGUUCCGUGCUGCCUGUCUUUGGUACGUGCAGGGAACGGAUUCGAGAAAUCAGCCGUACAGCUCGGGCAGCUUGGACCCAGUUGGAGGUCAAUCACUGUGACACAGGCCAAUGGACACAAAAGAGAGCUUAACUCAGAAGAGCCAAUUGCUUACAAGGAAACUCCUGUUCAGCCUCUCGGCCACAUGCCCUGCACAGAUGGAACCUUUAGGAAACUGAGAUGAUAAAUCUGUUUCUGUUGAGCAUGCACAACGCUAUGUCCUCCAAGCCCUGAAAAGGCCCAGACUUGGAACAGAUUUCUUGGGAUAUAAAAAAGCUUACAAAAAAUCUUUCAGAAUUUCAAGUCUUUGCUCCAACACAUAGAAAUUGUAGAAGAAAGGUAGCCAAUUUUUAAAAAUGUAUUAAAAAAAUAUUUUUCUCUAGCCAAAUGUUGGAAAUAGAUACUUCUCAUCUGCAGUUAUUAAUAAAAAACCCUCUCAUCUAGAUUUGGUGUAUUCUGUGAAAAUCUUUGGUUGAAAUGGUUAAGAUCAAGGCAAAAUUUUGAGAAAGUAAAAUAAGGUUCUUGUAAUGAGGUGACUGGUGACCUUCAGAAUGUUUACUACCAGCUUCCCUUGCAAAUCUCAUGAUACUCAUGAACAAAUAAAUACUUUUGCUAUGAAUUGGACUGUA